rnacentral:rRNA from 1 species
AUUGAACGCUGGCGGCAUGCUUUACACAUGCAAGUCGAACGGCAGCACGAAAGAGCUUGCUCUUUUGGUGGCGAGUGGCGAACGGGUGAGUAAUGCAUCGGAACGUACCGAGUAAUGGGGGAUAACUGUCCGAAAGGAUAGCUAAUACCGCAUACGCUUUGAGAAGGAAAGUGGGGGCUCUUCGGACCUCACGUUAUUCGAGCGGCCGAUGUCUGAUUAGCUAGUUGGUGGGGUAAAGGCCUACCAAGGCGACGAUCAGUAGCGGGUCUGAGAGGAUGAUCCGUCACACUGGGACUGAGACACGGCCCAGACUCCUACGGGAGGCAGCAGUGGGGAAUUUUGGACAAUGGGCGCAAGCCUGAUCCAGCCAUGCCGCGUGUCUGAAGAAGGCCUUCGGGUUGUAAAGGACUUUUGUUAGGGAAGAAAAGGAUAGUGUUAAUACCAUUAUCUGCUGACGGUACCUAAAGAAUAGCACGGCU